rnacentral:rRNA from 1 species
GGGAAUCUACCUUUUGCUACGGAAUAACUCAGGGAAACUUGUGCUAAUACCGUAUGUGCCCUUUUGGGGAAAGAUUUAUCGGCAAGAGAUGAGCCCGCGUUGGAUUAGCUAGUUGGUGGGGUAAAGGCCUACCAAGGCGACGAUCCAUAGCUGGUCUGAGAGGAUGAUCAGCCACACUGGGACUGAGACACGGCCCAGACUCCUACGGGAGGCAGCAGUGGGGAAUAUUGGACAAUGGGCGCAAGCCUGAUCCAGCCAUGCCGCGUGAGUGAUGACGGUCUUAGGAUUGUAAAGCUCUUUCACCGGUGAAGAUAAUGACGGUAACCGGAGAAGAAGCCCCGGCUAACUUCGUGCCAGCAGCCGCGGUAAUACGAAGGGGGCUAGCGUUGUUCGGAUUUACUGGGCGUAAAGCGCACGUAGGCGGACUUUUAAGUCAGGGGUGAAAUCCCAGAGCUCAACUCUGGAACUGCCUUUGAUACUGGAAGUCUUGAGUAUGGUAGAGGUGAGUGGAAUUCCGAGU